UGUAAUUUGCAGAGGAUGUCUUGGCGUCGGUCCCGUCUGAAGUCCUUUGGAACAGGGCGUCAUGGAGGGUGACAAUCCCGUAUUUUCGGCGACCGUCUCCGUGUAAGACUCCUUCGAAGAGUCGAGUUGUUUGGGAAUGCAGCUCUAAGUGGGAGGUAAAUUUCUUCCAAAGCUAAAUACCUGCUAGAGACCGAUAGCGCACAAGUAGAGUGAUCGAAAGAUGAAAAGCACUUUGAAAAGAGAGUUAAAAAGCACGUGAAAUUGUUGAAAGGGAAGCUCAUGCAGUCAGACAUGGUUUGCAAGCUCAGCCUUAUGGUGUAUUCUUGCGAGCCAGGCUAGCAUCAGUCCGGGUCGCUGGAUAAAAGCUUUGGGAAUGUGGCUCUUCGGAGUGUUAUAGCCCGAUGCAGAAUGCAGCGCAUCCGGAU
rnacentral:rRNA from 1 species